rnacentral:lncRNA from 1 species
UGCAUGUUUCAUUUUCUCCAUUGUUUUCUCUGCUUCACUGAGCUUAAGGUCAGAACGGAUGCAGAAUACUUGGAACCUGGUGAAGGAAGCAUGAAAGACUAAUUUAGAGCAUCAAGAGAUUCGGUUAAGAGCAAACUAUCAGAGGGAGAGGAAUGUGUGUCAAAUUAGUGUUAGCACUUUAAAAUUGAUACCUUUCUUUCUAUUGGAUAAUAAAAUUUGCUAACAAAACAAGUACUUGAUACAGAAUUUAACAGAGGUUAAGCUCCAGCCUAAAUAAAGAGCAUCAUCUGCAUCACGAAGUAAGGUCACCUAUAUUUUUCCUUUUUGACAACUCUCACACAACAAAGCAAUUACAUUGAAAUAUAACUAAGUUUAUGCUUGGUUGGCAUGUAUUGGUUUUCAUAAGAAUAAUUGUCAUCAUUUUUCAUGUUUAAGAAUGUAAUAUGUCGUGGUUGUUUCAGAUUCAAUCCGAGUCAUCUGCCACAAGUUGGAGUUCAAAAAAACAUAAAGCCAAUUAACAAGAUAUGUAAACUCGUCCAAACUCAAUGUGGAAAUAGAACGAAGGAGAUGUAGAACAACAACAACAACAACAUACCCAUUGCAGCCCCCACAAGUGGGGUCUGGGGAGGGUAGUGUGUACGCAGACCUUACCCUUAACUUUAAGAAGGCAGAGAGGCAUCGAAGGAGAUGUAGAAGAACACCACAGUUAAGCAAGCAAAAACCAGGGAAAAAGCACUCAGCAAUGUAGCCUUAGCAGCACAUAUUGAAAAAGAAAAGCAGAAAAUUUUUGAAAAAGAAAAGCCAAAUAUUACCAAGCAAUUUUCUCCAACUAAGUAGACAACAAAAUAUGGUAAGGAAUUUUGGAGAUAUUAUUAGUUGUUGGCACUUGGCAAAAGAAAAUUACACUUGCUCUCAUCCUUGAAACACCCAAUUAGAGUAAUUAAGAACUUGUUGGAGACAACACUAGAAAACCCCAUCUGACUUUUUACCUCAAAAACUUGUAAACAUACAUCAUAGUCUUAAGAUAAAGAAUUGAAAAUGCAAGUACUUUGAAACCAAAAUUCAGAACAAAAUCGUUGAAAAGGGUAAAAAGAUCACAAUGCACAGAUCCAAAGACAGAACUAACAGUCACAAAACUUGCACACACAAAAGGUAGAGAUAAAGACAAGACACUCAAAAAAUAGAAAGAGGAGAGAUGAAACAACACCAACUUCCCAAUACAGCAAAUAUACACAAGCAAAGAUGCAACAACGAGAGGAUAAAACAUAUAAAAAGAGGACCUUUACAAGAGAAAUCCACUAAGAUUGUCAUCAGAAAUAAGACAAUGAACAGAAUUUCAAGAAAUUACCAAAGAUCAAGUCUUUUUCAAAAUGCUCAGCUUCAGAACAAAAAAAAAAACCAGCAAGAUGUAUCUCAUUCAACGCUAGCUCCAGCUCCUAGCUAACACCAAAGAAAUCCAAGAAACCCCAUCAACCAGAAAGAGGAGAUAGCUCAAA